rnacentral:misc_RNA from 1 species
UGGCCGAAGUCAGAGCCGCCGCAACAACCGUGGCGCGCGGAGUGCCCACAGGGGCCGCAGCCGCCCAACUACGACCCCUACAGGAUCAAAGUCCCCGACGUAGUCGUGCCGCCACUACCGCCCAGUAAUGUCAAGGAAAUUCCAAACGAGGACAACAUGGAGCUGUUCAAAAAUCCGGAACUUUGUUUCCAAUCGAGUGCUAGUGUUCAAGACUUGUUUCACAACUCGCCUAUCGUGCACCCGGAUUACUGGAAGGACAAGCCAGUGAAGCGGCUGACGGAGGCGGUGAAGGACGCGCUGCCCAAGCUGGGCUACCACGGCAGGAACAAGUACAAGUACGCGUUCCACGAGCCGUGGCGGCCGCUGGACCGCAUGACGCUGCUUGACGAGGCCGAGAAGCAGGAGCUCGGCCAGACCGACGACUUGACCGUCAAAGCGGAUACUUAACGCGAACGAGGGCUCUGAUUUUCGAACUUAAAAAAAUUGAAAAUUUAGGCUAUUUUCGUAAAAAUGUCGCAUCGUUUCUAAUAAAUUUUUGUUUCAUGUAUCGUUAACUUUGAGCUUUUACUAAUGCCUCAGUAAUGGCCUAGGUACUUUUAAGUUGCGCUCCGUACCUACUGGUUCAAAGCAAUUUUCUUGCCAGCAGUUUGAAAGAUUUAAAUAAUUUAGUGACACAUCUACAGUUUCCAAUACUUAUGGUGGAACAAUUUUAGACGUAGGAUGUUGUUCAUUUAGCAAAAUUAUUUUGAGAUAAGAUUACCUACGUCAUAUUUAGCAGAUUUAAGAAUUUUCCUGUUCUUGAAAAGUUAUUUACUCGGGGAAGUAUAUCUCGUUACGAAGGUAAAUUAUGUUCACGAUAUGUUUUUAUCACAAUACCACGAUAUUGUUUUAUGUAAAAAUUUUAUGGUGAUACAUUCCGCAAUUGAUAUUUAUCCACCAAAACAGACGAGCAAAGCGGAGCGGACGAGUUUUAAUCAACUAAUAUAUUUUCGUUAUUCAAACAUCUCGUCUCCGCCCAGAAAUCUUUGCUCUUAUCUUCGCAUGUCUACUUUAAUGGAGCACUGAAGUAGGCUUUUGCGCAGUUGGUUAUCCAAAUUUCGAUAUCAGGGGCUUGAUUCUGCUAAGUUAAUAAUGUGACAAUUAUAUACUUACCAAUUGAAUCUCAAUAGCAGUUUUAACCUUAUCGGGAAUUCUGCUACUGACAUUUCAUUGGCUUGCCACUGGUCUGCUAUUUGGUCUCUGCUCUGCAAUCAUAUUGCAAUCGAAAAUAAUUUGCAGACAAUAUGAUUCAUGAUUAAUUCAUUAUGAAAAAAUUACGGAGUGCCACAUACUUACGUUUCAAUAGUAAUCCAGUCGUGACUGAAUCUUAGUUGGAUAUCAAUCUUAUGUCGAUUAAGUAAAAUUAGCAGAAUUGAGCCCCUGGAAGUGUUGAGUACUUAUGAAUUAUUGAAUAACUGUGCAUUGACUUACCGUUGCAGCCGAUGCUGGACUGCACCAAGGGUACUAACAAAGGGCAAUGCUCUCUGAAGCCGGUGGUGACGCCGGAGCCUCCCCCCCCGCCUCCGCCACCGAGCUUCCCUUGGAUGUAUUUUUGGGCGCUACUGUCAUUCUUCGGUGCGUUUGGUUUGAUGUAUAAAUUAUAUUUAUGGAGGAGAAUGCAGGAGGUAACGAAAGAAAAACCUGUGUGGCGGCCUCGAAGGAAGAUGAAGCGGCCGUACAACGAGCGCGACAUUCCCGCUUGCGUUCAGUAUCUCAUAAUAGGCACGGGCGCCGCCGGCUGGGCCGCAUACAAGGCCAUUAUGGAACACGACAAAACUGCUAAGGUAUUCUUCGUAACGAAAGAAGAUUCCUUCCCCUACAAGCGGCCGCCGCUUAGUAAGCAAAUGUGGUUUGAAGAAGAUCCUCCUGACCCGAAGAUUUUGAAGUAUGUCGAAGACGGACGAAGACAAACAAUGUUUAAUGCAGAUUGCGGAGAUUUCUUAGAUCCCGUUGUAUUUUAUCGGAAAAAGACGGGCCCGGCGUUGUCGAUCGCGACGGGCUGGUGUGUGGUCCGACUGGACGCUGACGACCACGUGGCCUACGUCAAGACCAUGAGUGGGGAGCAUCCGAUAUACUACGAGCGGUGUCUGUUGGCCCCCGGUUCAAAACCAAGAACUCUUGACAUCAUAAAAUCCGCUCCGAAGGCAGUACGGGAAAAAGUUUGCACCAUGCGUACAGUUAGGGAUUUGGAGCUAGCGUACAGGAAAGUCAAAGAAGCGAAGCAUGUAACAGUCAUAGGCGCCGGCCCUCUGGGCUGCGAGCUCGCGUGGCAUCUGGGCAAAAUGAAUAAAAUGAUGCCGUUAGAGGACGGGCCGGGCAGGGUGAUAACACACGUGUACAAGGACAAGGGCAUACUGUCGGGCAUCCUGCCGGAGUACCUCGGCGUGUGGGCCGCUGAGCUCAUCAAGUGCGAGGGUGUCACGCAAGUGCCCAAAGCUCAAGUAUACGAUGUGUUCGAGUCAGUAGACGGGAGACUCGAGCUCACGCUGUCCAACGGCCAGUCUUUAGUCACGGACUUCGCUUUCGUGGCAGUAGGCGCGGAGCCGCGCGUGGACCUGGCCGAGGGCUCGUACCUGGAGCGCGACGAGAUCAACGGCGGCUACCUGGUGAACACCGAGCUGGAGGCCCGGACUCACCUGUACAUCGCCGGCGACGCCGCCAGCUACUACUCGCAGGAGAAGGACACGCGCAUGCGCGCCGACCACGUCAUCAACGCCGAGGAGCAGGGCUACAUCGCCGGCUCCAACAUGACCGGCUACUGGAUGCCCUGCAACAUGGAGCCCAACUGGUGGGUGCGCCUCGGCGAUCUGCUGCAGAUGGAGGUAGUCGGCGAAGUGGGUGCAUGCAUGCCCAUCGUGGGGCUUUUCAAGGAAUGUACGGACGAAGAAUCCAUUAAGGAGGCCGAGACAAUGACCAACGCGGGCGAAAGGCAAGGCUGCUUCCAGAGCAGGAGCGCGGAGUACGUGAACCGGUACAAGCGCGGCCUGCUCUUCUACUUGCGCGACGAGGUGGUGGUCGGCUUCGUGUUCUGGAACAUGCCGGCCAUCGAGGACCGCAGGGAAGUGGCCACUGAGUUGCUUCGCGCGAAGCCUACGUACCAAGACAUCAACGUGCUGGCGGAGCUACUGGGCUUCCCGAGCACACGAUGUGUGUACAAGAAGGACGAGGUAGUGGUCGCUGAAGUUGGGCCUUGUUUAACUAAUGACUGUAAACCCAAACCAACUUCGAAAAAAGAUUGUCCGACAAUAACGCGACACCGAUAUCCGUAGCGCCGUAUGGUCGUCUAGGGAACAUCACCGCGGUUCAGUUUUGUUGAGAAACGUUUGUAAACAUGAUCGCAUUCCGUAACUUGUGAACAUUAGCAGCCGCUCACUGGUCGCAAGCCGAGUCGCCGGCCUUACACCGCGGAUGACGCAAACAUUACAUAACUCGUUAACUGCUAACUUCGGUUAGAAGUUGACCGUUAUCAAAGAUACAAGACGUCACCUUACACGGCGACGCUUGCUAAUCUAAAUAAUCUAAACCUUUUGUAAACGAAUGUUACCAAACAACAUACUAAAUGUUACUCAACAAAUAGCAACUGCGGUGUGCUCCUUUAUCUCAUCAUACGUCUUACGGCCCUCGAAAAAAAAAGAGUAAAAAGUUGGAAAGUAUGGUAAAAAAAAAAAUUUGCAAGAAAAGUUUUAAGGAAUUGUCUGUGUGAACAUAUUUUUUUUUGAUAUUGAAAGUUUUGAUUCAUUAA